CAACUUGAACAACCUCUCUCUCUCUCUCUCUCUCUCUUUUGCCUAGUACUUAUGGCCAUGGCUAAGCUUCUCUGCAUUCUGCUUCUAGCUCUCCUGGCAUUUCCAUGGUUGCAACCCAGGUCAUGGCAAAAGAAGCUCAGUACCACCUUCAAAGUGGGCAAAAUGGACAAGGGAGUCUUAAGAGUUACC